rfam:Triticum aestivum genome assembly, contig: Triticum_aestivum_CS42_TGACv1_scaffold_050112_1BS
CUCAUACUCCCUCAGUCCGGAAUUACUUAUUGCAGCAAUGGAUAAAAAUAGAUGUAUUUAAAAUUAGAAUAUGUCUAUAUACAUUUAUUUCUCCUACAAGUAUUUCGGGACGGAGGGAGUAUAUU